UAAAAUGGGUCUUUGAAGGAAGAGUGUAACCAGGGUAGAGGGCGAUGAUCAAUGCUCUGAAGCCAUCAUCUUCAACCAUUGAUAGCGGCCUCAUGUUUAGGACACUUACUGUCAAAACAGCUG